GAAGGCGCAUCCCUUUAGAGCG
rnacentral:miRNA from 1 species